AUUGAACGCUGGCGGCAGGCUUAACACAUGCAAGUCGAGCGGGGGAAGGUAGCUUGCUACCGGACCUAGCGGCGGACGGGUGAGUAAUGCUUAGGAAUCUGCCUAUUAGUGGGGGACAACAUCUCGAAAGAGAUGCUAAUACCGCAUACGUCCUACGGGAGAAAGCAGGGGAUCUUCGGACCUUGCGCUAAUAGAUGAGCCUAAGUCGGAUUAGCUAGUUGGUGGGGUAAAGGCCUACCAAGGCGACGAUCUGUAGCGGGUCUGAGAGGAUGAUCCGCCACACUGGGACGGAGACACGGCCCAGACUCCUACGGGAGGCAGCGGUGGGGAAUAUUGGACAAUGGGGGGAACCCCGAUCCAGCCAUGCCGCGUGUGUGAAGAAGGCCUUAUGGUUGUAAAGCACUUUAAGCGAGGAGGAGGCUACUUUAGUUAAUACCUAGAGAUAGUGGACGUUACUCGCAGAAUAAGCACCGGCUAACUCUGUGCCAGCCGCCGCGGUAA
rnacentral:rRNA from 1 species